rnacentral:rRNA from 1 species
GACGAACCGAGCGAACGUUGUUCGGAAUCACUGGGCUUAAAGGGUGCGUAGGCGGGCUGCCAAGUUUGAGGUGAAAUCCUCCGGCUCAACCGGGGAAGUGCCUUGAAUACUGGCGGUCUGGAGGGAGGUAGGGGCGUGCGGAACUAACGGUGGAGCGGUGAAAUGCGUUGAUAUGCGGAGGAACACCGAUGGCGAAGGCAAUCCCCUGGGCCUGCACUGACGCUCAUGCACGAAAGCGUGGGGAGCAAACAGG